rnacentral:rRNA from 1 species
UACAGAGGGUGCAAGCGUUGUUCGGAAUUAUUGGGCGUAAAGCGCGUGUAGGCGGCUUUGUAAGUUGGGUGUGAAAGCCCUCGGCUUAACCGAGGAAGUGCGCCCAAAACUGCAUGGCUUGAGUACCGGAGAGGGUGGCGGAAUUCCCGGUGUAGAGGUGAAAUUCGUAGAUAUCGGGAGGAAGCACCAGCGGCGAAGGCGGCCACCU